rnacentral:rRNA from 1 species
CAAGGAAUUUUCCCCAAUGGGCGCAAGCCUGAGGGAGCAACGCCGCGUGGAGGACGACGGCCUUCGGGUUGUAAACUCCUUUCGGGCGGGACGAUGAUGACGGUACCGCCAGAAGCAGCCCCGGCUAACUCUGUGCCAGCAGCCGCGGUAAGACAGAGGGGGCAAGCGUUGUCCGGAGUUACUGGGCGUAAAGGGCGCGGAGGCGGUCUGCGGCGUCGGCGCUGAAAGCGCCCCGCUUAACGGGGCGAGGCGCGCCGAUACGCGCAGGCUUGAGGCGAGCAGAGGGCGGCGGAAUUCCGGGUGGAGCGGUGAAAUGCGUAGAGAUCCGGAGGAACGCCAGUGGAGAAGUCGGCCGCCUGGGCUCGACCUGACGCUGCGGCGCGACAGCGUGGGGAGCAAACCGGAUUAGAUACCCGGGUAGUCCACGCCGUAAACGAUGCCGGCUCGGCGUUUGGCGCGCGCGAGCGCGCUGGGCGCCUUAGCUCACGCGGUAAGCCGGCCGCCUGGACAC